UGGGAUGUAGCUCAGUGGUGAAGCACUUGCUUACCUAGUGCAAGGGGGGCCCUGGGUUUAACUUCCAGUAUCACAA
rnacentral:tRNA from 1 species